UUCAACGGCCGCGGUAUUUUAACCGUGCAAAGGUAGCGCAAUCACUUGUCCUCUAAUUAAGGACCUGUAUGAAUGGUUAAACGAGGGCUUAACUGUCUCCCUUUUCCAGUCAGUGAAAUUGAUCUACCCGUGCAGAAGCGGGUAUAAUAACACAAGACGAGAAGACCCUUUGGAGCUUAAGGUACAAGAAUCAAUUAUGUUAAACAAACCAUUAUAAAGUUCUAAACAAAAUAAAGAAUGAAACACUACCUUCGGUUGGGGCGACCACGGAGAAAAAAACAACCUCCAAGUGGACUGGACAGUAUCCAAAACCAAGACAAACAAUUCUAAGUAACAGAACAUCUGACCAAAAAUGAUCCGGCCACAAGCCGAUCAACGAACAAAGUUACCCAAGGGAUAACAGCGCAAUCCUCUCCCAGAGUCCAUAUCGACGAGGGGGUUUACGACCUCGAUGUUGGAUCAGG
rnacentral:rRNA from 1 species